CACUCUAUUCCAGUAGGUGGCGGAAUAUGCACCAAAGCUGGUUUGCCAACCGCAAUUAAACGUCAAAGUAGAAGGAGACAUUAAACCCACAGAAGAAGAAAAAAGAAGAAGAAGCUCACGAUUAGUUCCUCCCACAACAAUUGCAGAACCCUGCAGAAUGAAACACACUGAAGAUACUGAAGAACAAACAGGUAUUUUUAUAACAAUAGAGCAGGGGUGGCGAACGUCAGUCCUACAGAGUUUUGCUUCAACCCUAAUCAAACACACCCGA
rnacentral:lncRNA from 1 species